GACGAACGCUGGCGGCGUGCUUAACACAUGCAAGUCGAACGGAAACGCCCUGCUUUUGUGGGGUGCUCGAGUGGCGAACGGGUGCGUAACACGUGAGUAACCUGCCCUUGACUUUGGGAUAACUUCAGGAAACUGGGGCUACUACCGGAUAGGAGCUCCUGCUGCAUGGUGGGGGGUGGAAAGUUUCGGCGGUUGGGGAUGGACUCGCGGCUUAUCGGCUUGUUGGUGGGGGAGUGGCUUACCAAGGCAUUGACGGGUAGCCGGCCUGAGAGGGUGACCGGCCACAUUAGGACUGAGAUACGGCCCAGACUCCUACGGGAGGCAGCAGUGGGGAAUAUUGCACAAUGGGCGGAAGCCUGAUGCAGAAACGCCGCGUGCGGAAUGACGGCCUGCGGGUUGUAAACCGCUUUCGCCUGUGACGAAGCGUGAGUGACGGUAAUGGGUAAAGAAGCACCGGCUAACUACGUG
rnacentral:rRNA from 1 species